rnacentral:rRNA from 1 species
GACGAACGCUGGCGGCGUGCUUAACACAUGCAAGUCGAACGGAAAGGCCCUGCUUUUGUGGGGUGCUCGAGUGGCGAACGGGUGAGUAACACGUGAGUAACCUGCCCUUGACUUUGGGAUAACUUCAGGAAACUGGGGCUAAUACCGGAUAGGAGCUCCUGCUGCAUGGUGGGGGUUGGAAAGUUUCGGCGGUUGGGGAUGGACUCGCGGCUUAUCAGCUUGUUGGUGGGGUAGUGGCUUACCAAGGCUUUGACGGGUAGCCGGCCUGAGAGGGUGACCGGCCACAUUGGGACUGAGAUACGGCCCAGACUCCUACGGGAGGCAGCAGUGGGGAAUAUUGCACAAUGGGCGGAAGCCUGAUGCAGCAACGCCGCGUGCGGGAUGACGGCCUUCGGGUUGUAAACCGCUUUCGCCUGUGACGAAGCGUGAGUGACGGUAAUGGGUAAAGAAGCACCGGCUAACUACGUGCCAGCAGCCGCGGUGAUACGUAGGGUGCGAGCGUUGUCCGGAUUUAUUGGGCGUAAAGGGCUCGUAGGUGGUUGAUCGCGUCGGAAGUGUAAUCUUGGGGCUUAACCCUGAGCGUGCUUUCGAUACGGGUUGACUUGAGGAAGGUAGGGGAGAAUGGAAUUCCUGGUGGAGCGGUGGAAUGCGCAGAUAUCAGGAGGAACACCAGUGGCGAAGGCGGUUCUCUGGGCCUUUCCUGACGCUGAGGAGCGAAAGCGUGGGGAGCGAACAGGCUUAGAUACCCUGGUAGUCCACGCUGUAAACGGUGGGUACUAGGUGUGGGGUCCAUUCCACGGGUUCCGUGCCGUAGCUAACGCUUUAAGUACCCCGCCUGGGGAGUACGGCCGCAAGGCUAAAACUCAAAGGAAUUGGCGGGGCCCCGCACAAGCGGCGGAGCAUGCGGAUUAAUUCGAUGCAACGCGUAGAACCUUACCUGGGUUUGACAUGGAUCGGGAGUGCUCAGAGAUGGGUGUGCCUCUUUUGGGGUCGGUUCACAGGUGGUGCAUGCCUGUCGUCAGCUCGUGUCGUGAGAUGUUGGGUUAAGUCCCGCAACGAGCGCAACCCUUGUUCACUGUUGCCAGCACGUUAUGGUGGGGACUCAGUGGAGACCGCCGGGGUCAACUCGGAGGAAGGUGGGGAUGACGUCAAGUCCUCAUGCCCCUUAUGUCCAGGGCUUCACGCAUGCUACAAUGGCUGGUACAGAGAGUGGCGAGCCUGUGAGGGUGAGCGAAUCUCGGAAAGCCGGUCUCAGUUCGGAUUGGGGUCUGCAACUCGACCUCAUGAAGUCGGAGUCGCUAGUAAUCGCAGAUCAGCAACGCUGCGGUGAAUACGUUCCCGGGGCU